UCGGAUAUGGUGUAAAGGCUAACAUUACCGCCUCUCAUUCUCGUUCAGAAUGAUCGCGGUAGCUCGGGGUUCGAUUCCCCGUAUCCGAG